GCUCCAGUGGCCUAUGUGGUUAGAGCUUCCACUUCAGAUGCAGGAGGUCAUGGGUUCAAUCCCUAGCUGAGUCA